AACAACGUGUAGAUAGGGAAAAGUAAAAGAAAGAAGUCCUUUCAGAGAGAACCAUCAUGGCUGAGAAUGGUUUAGGUUACUUUCUUUGAACAUGCACCCUUGAGCCUUUUCUUGAAAGUAGUAGGGAAGAGCGGUUAGCUUCGUUAUAGGCUAAUAAAGAUUAGUAGGAAGUUUAUCUCCUACUAGUAACAGAGUGGAACCGCGCCGUGGCGCCUCUGUG
rnacentral:ncRNA from 1 species